UUUGUUUGUCCCGUUCAGCUGUUGGGUCAAGCAGAAAGGAAGAUCUGUAUCCCUUUUAUGCCGGAACAGAUUGUGUGUCACAGUGGACUUUUUAAGCUGCCACUGUGGUUUAUUUGUAUUCUGAUGGAUAUUUAUUGAGAAUUACAGUUGUUCAGUCAAACAACAGUGACAGAAAAAACAAAGGAGAGAGUCAAAAGGUAACUAAAUAAUAGGAAAAGACAAAAAAAGGCAAAGCAGUUGCUGUGAACAAGAUGAGGAAAGUAAAGCAUUAUUUAAUUAGUACAAUGACACAUUGGAUUUGAGUGUUGUAUGGGUCAGUAGUGCUACACCCUGUGAGGGAAGGACAUGACAAUAUAGGACAGGACAGUGACAGGAGGUGAUGCUUGUUGACCUGGCUGUACAACUGAAGUGUGGUGGUAGUGGCUAUGUAAACAUCCCCGCGGAACCGCAAAGCACAUGUAACAUUGGCGACAAAAGCUGAUCCGCUAGUACAUCUUGUAUUAAAUAGGAAACAUGGCUACAAUUAUCUAAUUAGUUUACGGAUGCUAAUGUUAAAUGUGUUAAGAGACAGAGUGAUGUUAGGGAUUAUGUCACAACACAGAAUAAACUAACUUCAAAUUCAGAAAUAGCCAAUAACAACAGAAAAAUAUUGUACUUAAUGUUUUCCUGGAGGAUGCAUUUGGGAUGAGCCUUUGAAGUUGGUAAUAGUGAAAAAUGAAGUGUAACAGACAAUGAUUUUAAUUAAUUAUUUUCCAGAAUGAGUGUGCUUAAAGAGGAGGAUGCUAUUCAUGUGGCACAGUUUGAAGCAGGUGCAGGUGGAGAUGGGCCUGGCUCAAGUUGGAGGCCAAAACAAAAAAGCAAAGAAAUGAGGCAAAUUUAAUUAGAAUCUUAAAUGUGUACAUCAACAUGUACUUGAGCGGUGUAAAUAAAAAACAAUUCUACUUGAAGAACAUUUAUUUUGCCUUAUUGUACUCUUCAGAGUCUUCCAGAUUGCCUUAUUUAUGUUAAAAAAUAUAUUUUUUUAUAUCUCUGUGGGGACCCGGGGGAUCUCCCCAGAACCCCUCUACGUAUUUUAUUUUAUUUUUUAUUUUUUUUGUCGUCACCAUUUUCAUGCCUUUGGUGUUAACGUGUGUAAAAAGAAGUUUUUGCAACCACGGUGUAGUUCCCAGAUAAGAGUUGGCCUAGCUUUUAUUUCUUCUUCCUUUUGCUACUACUAUUUCUUCUGUGUAUUCCUGGGCGGUCUGGAUGCCCUGUGACAUCGUGCUGCCUCUCUGGUCAGUCUUUAUAAGAUGACAGAUAUUGCCGCCUGUUCAUCACCUCGAGUACACCACGUACGAGCAAGAGGAGCAAUAUGACAUUUGAGAAAGACAAUGACGGAAUAUCCCCCUUGGAAUCAGCCCUUAUGCAGCUGGAAAGUUUGAGUCAGGAAAUUGAUGUUCAAAAAGAGGACUUAAAAAAUGUUUGUACCUUAGUGAAGGAGAUGAUUGUGAAGCUUUUUAUUAAGAACAAAGAUUUUAUCAAAGCUAAAGAGGCGAUCCGCCAUUUGCCCAAAUCAAUGGUUGCCAAGAAACAAAUUUUCAUGGAUCUCAUCAGUAAGAAGAGCAACAAGCAUAAAGUCAUUGAGGAACUUGACUUCAAACAGUUAAAGGUCGAGAUCUCAGCUUUUUGCCUGAAAUUCUGCUCAUUCUCUGUUCCCUUUCUUCACAAGGCUGCAAAGCAGCUCAUCGAUCAACUCAACAAGCAAAACGCUGAGAGCACGACAACCGAUGAGUCAGAUGAAUGUGGCCCCUCCAAUCGGCCUUGUGCACAAGUAAACAUCCAGCUGCGGAUAUGUGAACAUUCAAUUAUCCCGAAGGAGAGACUGAAGUCAGCCUACCAGGCUUUGGCAGCAGGUCUGGUGUUACCAUUUUCUCACCUGGAGGAAGAAGUUGAAAAUGAAACGGCUAUCGCCAUCCCAGCUCCUGAAAUAGAGGACACAAAUAAAAACUCGGAGAACGAAGAGAGUUUCCAAACAAACUCUUGCAGGCCUCUUGAGGUCACCCCGCCCACUCAAACAGAUGCCCCUCCUCAAUCCAAGACUGGUUCACCGCAUAACACCGACAGGAAAGAGACGAGGGCCUCUGUGUUGAAAUGGCAGCAUCACAACAUAGCGAAGAUGGUGAUGCAGCCGGACAGUCAGCCAAGCUUGUUGUAUGCUACCCCUCAGGAGCAGGAGGCUGCAGUGAGAGUGCAGGAGCCGGCGGAGUCGCAAACUGUAGCCUGUCAAAUCCCUCAAACUGACACAGAGGUUGUCCCGCUGAUGAGACCUCAAUUACCCACACAUACAAAGAGCAGAUCGUCCUCUAAUGAUGAUGAGGCAUCUCCACAAUGUGAAGAGCAAUCUUCUAGCUCAGCAGGAAGCAAACGAGUCUCUCUGAAAACAUGUAACGAAGCUUUUCCAAAUGGAUCUUCCGCUGAUGAUGAGACAUCUCCUCAAUGUGAGGAACAAUCCUCUAGCUUAGCAGGAAGCAUGGAAGUCUCUCGAAGAACAUGUAACCAGGCUUUGCCAAAUGGAAAGAGCACUGAAUCAGAAGAGUUAUCAGCAAUCACUGUCCAUGUGGUGCAGGAUUCUCCAGUAAACAAUGAAACUCCUGUGGAAAAACAGAGCAGCGAUUCUCUGAGCAAGUUUAUGGGAAAUACAAAUGAAGUCAUAAUCACUGAUUCCUCACUGGACUGUUCGCCUUCUUUGAUUCAUCAAUGCCGCUCCCCUCAAAAAUGUUCCACUCCUAAUAAGGACACCUCCCGCACGAAAUGGAAGAAUAUGUUAAGCAACGCCAAGGAGACCAAGGUCAAUUGGACUGAAGAAGAGGAGCUUUUCAAUGAGUCAUUUAACAAGAGCUCAUCUUCGAGGAAGAGGCUCCUGUGGCAGGCCAUGCUUUCUCAGAUGCCGCAGGAAGUAGAGACUGUAAUUCCCAGGAACUUGAAGGUCUCGACGGUUGACAUAAGGCAGCUGGACAGCGUGAGGGGCAGCUGUGGUGAAGGAUGCCUCCUGAAGUCCACGAUCAUCUCUACAGUCUUGAGCCUGUUCAGCUCCAGGUUGUGUCAGCCGCACCACAGCUCCAGCCGCUCCACUUCCUGUCGAUAUGGAGACUCGUCACCGUCCUUGAUGAGGCCGAUGACAGUGGUGUCAUCUGCAAACUUCAGGAGUUUGACAGCCGGGUGCGCUGAGGUGCAGUCAUUCAUGUAGAGAGAAGAGCAGCGGAGAGAGGACACAACCUUGGCGCGCCCCGGUGCUGAUGCUGCGUGUAGAUGAGGUGGCCUCCCCCAGCCUCACCUGCUGUGUCCUGCCCGUCAGGAAGCUGUAAAUCCACUGGCAGAUAGCAGGAGAAGCGUGGAGGAGAGGAGUUCGGGGAUGAUGGUGUUGAAUGCAGAGCUGAAGUCCACGAACUGGAUCCUCACAAGUGGACAGAAGAGGAAAGCCAGAAGCUGAGGAAUGGAGUCAAAAAAUUCGGAGAGGGCAACUGGAGCAAGAUUAAGGCUUAUUACUCUUUCCGCGAAAGGACAAAUGUCCAUCUAAAAGACCGUUGGAGGACGAUG